GUCUCUCUUCCUGUCCUGUCUAGUUCCUACUUACUGUGUUUCCCAUCCCCCGCUCACACACACACUCACUCUCUCUCUCUCUCAUACAGGAGCGUCUCAUGACAAUCAUAUAGAACUCAUAGGGUAAUGGACUCUGUGUGACCGAGUGAGGAAGCGAGGAUUAUGGUUUUUGAACUCUGGAUUGGCAUCUGAGAUCGUUUGUGGCGAUGCCAGUGGGGCGAGAGAGGCGUGGGAUGGAUCGAAGCGUUCGAUUCAUCCACGUAAUCUUGGCCCUUGAAGGUGAACUGCGUUGAGGUGGCGUUUAUCUAGGGCACUAUUUAAUCUAAACGCCACUGAGAUUUCAAGCGGGUUAGUUUUGGCUUUAAUUAGGAAUCUGGAUGAAGCGGAAGGAGGUCUCAGCGGAAGCUACUUUGCGUUGCGUCAUGAUUGGAAAAUUAUACAAGUAGGGGUUUGACGCAUUGUUUAUCGUGGGUCUCUCAUGUUUCAAGCAUUCGCAAGCAUUUUGGGUCUGGUUGCAAAACUUGGAGGAGUAUGGAUGGAAUGUCUUUGUACAUUCAAGGUGAAAGCCACCUCUCUUUUAGCUGGCUUCGUCACAUACUGGUUUUAGCUAAUCGGGCCUCUGUAGUUUGUCAAUUUCCCAAGUUGUCUCAACAAUGCCGGUUGUUUAACAGUUUUCAUCUCUUCUCGAUGAUAAGUUUCCGUACUUGGCUGCAGAAAAUGUCGCAUCACUGAGUCUUUUGGGGAAAUAUUAAGUGUAAACUAGCCAUGUGUGGGCAUUGAAUGUCAACCGUUUGUUGACUUACCUGUGGACCCCGUAUCAUGAAUGAAUAGAGACUUCCGAGCUGUUUCAAUUGAAAUCAUAGGGCUUAUAGUGUUGAGCUCAACGUAUUUUCUGUCAGGUUAGGAUUUUCGUCACAACUGACCUUGCUAUUUGAGAUCAGUAAGUGUAACCUGAGCACCCAUGGAGACUGCAACCAGCGGUGAGGAGAUAAUGUGCCGAAUCUUGCAGCUGGGGAAAGGUACAUUAUAAUAUGAAAUACAUCCAGAAGAAUAUUAUGAGCGA